CGGGUGAGUAAUGUAUGGGGAUCUGCCUGAUGGCGGGGGAGUAACUACUGGAAACGGUAGCUAAUACCGCAUAAUGUCUGCGGGCCAAAGCGGGGGGACCUCCGGGCCUCGCGCCAUCAGAUGAACCCAUAUGGGAUUAGCUUGUAGGUAAGGUAACGGCUUACCUAGGCGACGAUCCCUAGCUGGUCUGAGAGGAUGAUCAGCCACACUGGGACUGAGACACGGCCCAC
rnacentral:rRNA from 1 species